AGGAAUUAUGCUAUCAGGUGGAUGGCUCGGCUCAAGAGCUGAUGAAGGACGUGCCAAGCUGCGAUAAGCCCGGGGUAGGUGCAUGGAUCC
rnacentral:rRNA from 1 species